CUGACCUCAGAUCAGGCGAGAUUACCCGCUGAGUUUAAGCAUAUCACUAAGCGGAGGAAAAGAAACUAACAAGGAUUCCCUUAGUAGCGGCGAGCGAACCGGGAAGAGC
rnacentral:rRNA from 1 species